GCCAGGGUGGCGUAGCGGUUUGAGUGUUGGACUUCAAUUCCGGAGACCCGAGUUCGAUUCGCAUCUCGGCCAUGAAA